GGGGCUAAAAAUUCAAUCUAGCCAUCCAAUCGAUGGACUGAAGGUGCCAUAGCUUCAUAUCAUUGAAUGGAAUGUGUAGGAAUAAUCUGUUCGAGAAUCAAAAGAGUAUAUUGAAAGAUACACCUCCGUAUCAAAAUUUAGUAAUAUUAUUUUAUUUUUUUCAUCAUAAGAUGUUGAGAUAUCCAACUCUCAUCCAUCAAUUAUAGGAGAGGAGCAGGAGGAGGAGGAUGCAGACGA
rnacentral:lncRNA from 1 species